GAUAUUUAUGAGAAGCGGAAGUAUUCUCGAAAAGACAAGCUGGCGGUGGCUAUUACUCAAAAUAAGUCGUCUAAAUAUAAGUCGUCAAAGGAUUGAGAUUACUUUAUAUUUUUAUUUUACUAUUACCUUGAAAAAAAAAAAAAAAAAAAAAA
rnacentral:ribozyme from 1 species